rnacentral:rRNA from 1 species
GUCUCUGUGAAGGUGCUGCAUGGUUGUCGUCAGCUCGUGCCGUGAGGUGUCGGCUUAAGUGCCAUAACGAGCGCAACCCCUUUCCCUAGUUGCCAUCGGUUUUGGCCGGGCACUCUGGGGACACUGCCUCCGCAAGGAGUGAGGAAGGUGGGGAUGACGUCAAAUCAGCACGGCCCUUACGUCCGGGGCUACACACGUGUUACAAUGGGUGAUACAGAGGGCCGGCCGCUGGCAACAUCGGUCCAAUCCUUAAAGUCAUCCUCAGUUCGGACUGGGGUCUGCAACCCGACCCCACGAAGCUGGAUUCGCUAGUAAUCGCGCAUCAGCCAUGGCGCGGUGAAUACGUUCCCGGGCCUUGUACACACCGCCCGUCAAGCCAUGAAAGCCGGGGGCGCCUGAAGUCCGUGACCGCGAGGGUCGGCCUAGGGUGAAACCGGUGAUUGGGGCUAAGUCGUAACAAGGUAGCCGUACCGGAAGGUGCGGCUGGAUCACCUCCUU